CGUACACUCCUACGGGAGGCAGCAGUGGGGAAUAUUGGACAAUGGGCGCAAGCCUGAUCCAGCCAUGCCGCGUGAGUGAUGAAGGCCCUAGGGUUGUAAAGCUCUUUCACCGGUGAAGAUAAUGACGGUAACCGGAGAAGAAGCCCCGGCUAACUUCGUGCCAGCAGCCGCGGUAAUACGAAGGGGGCUAGCGUUGUUCGGAUUUACUGGGCGUAAAGCGCACGUAGGCGGACUAUUAAGUCAGGGGUGAAAUCCCGGGGCUCAACCCCGGAACUGCCUUUGAUACUGGUAGUCUUGAGUUCGAGAGAGGUGAGUGGAAUUCCGAGUGUAGAGGUGAAAUUCGUAGAUAUUCGGAGGAACACCAGUGGCGAAGGCGGCUCACUGGCUCGAUACUGACGCUGAGGUGCGAAAGCGUGGGGAGCAAACAGGAUUAGAAACCCGAGUAGUCCCAUGA
rnacentral:rRNA from 1 species